rnacentral:sRNA from 1 species
CUUGCGCCAGCGCGUAAGGGAUAGAAGCGGAUAUCCUUUUUUUUGGCUUGGGAAAAGCGUUGGCAAAAAAAGAUAGUAGUGGAUAGCCCGACCCGCU